CACAGUAUUUAAAAGAAAAAAAAAUUGGUAGUCCCACCACUGGGAGAUACCACAAUUAACAUCUUAGAGGAUGUCCUUCCGGAUCUUUUCCCAAUAGCAUUACCUUUUCACGAGCAUUUCCUAAGAACGGAACCGGGACCUAGAACCACUCACUGGAGGUGCUAGUUUAUGCAGGAGUCUGAGUUCCCUGGACGUCUUUCUCUUACCCAGAAAGCCCUGAUACGACCAGAUUUAAUUUGACCAUUUUUAGAAGUGCACGGAACAAUUAACGGCAAAUAAAUUGAAUUAAAAUCAAAUUGAAUGCAGCCUUUCAAUGAUAUGACUUAGAAUUUGAUUUUAAGUACCGUAAUGAAUACGAAAUGAAAGCUGGGCCUGGAAGGCUGGAAGGGCUCUUGGGCUUCGUGGGACCCGGAGUGCCACCUGCUGGCCGUGGUCUGCAAUGACAUCCACCACCCCUUCCUCUGACAGCAUGGACUUCCCGCUUGUAAACCCAAAAUAGGCUCCCUCUUUUUCUUCCAUGCGUUGAUAUCUCUCUCAAGAGCUUCCCAGACAUCUUUGCUCCCCUAGAGCAUUACAAAGUUGCUAGCACACAGGAGUAGUUUAAUAAAUAUUUUUUGAAUGAAUGAAUGAAUGAAAGGAUGGAUAGAUGGAUGGAUGAUGGAUGAUGGACGGAUGGAUGGACAAAAGGACGGAAGGGCAGUCUUGUGCGUCAUUGUGAAAUGAGAGAAUAAUCUCUGCCCUUCCCAUCUCACAGGCUUUUUUUGCAUUUUUUUUGUUUUCUCUUCUCUCGCUUUUGAUAAAAAUGAUGAUUUGAUACACAUAAACAUAGUGAAAUGAUUAUUAUUUGAGCUAACAUGCUAUCUCCUCAUAUAGUCAUUUUUUGUGAUGAAAGCUCUUGAAUUCUACUCUUCGCAUAUUUCCAGUAACUAUACAGUAUUAUUAACCACAGCCAUCGGGCUGGACACUAGCUCUCUAGACUUAAGUCACCCUACAUAACCACACUUCCGCCCCCUUUGACCUCAUCUCUCCACUCCCCCACCUCCCUGCCCUGGCAACCACCAGCCUGCUCUCUGCUUCUCUGUAUUCGACUUUUUUAGACUCCACACAAAAGUGAGUUGUGCAGUUUUCUUCUUUCCUCACAGGAUUUUUUUUUUUUUAGGAGAGUGAAUAAGAUAACCGUUGAGGGAAGCCAGAUGGAUGUGAAGGAUUAUGAUAACAACCCAACGCCAGGGGAUCAAGCAAACGUGAGGAGUCUUGAGCCAGACACUCACUAGGCAGCUGACAGUUUAGCUCGUUUCCAUUUCCUCUUCCUCCUUUAGGACCAGCUCGCUACUCCUUUCCACGGAAUCUGAGGAGCUGAGAUUCCUGGCCACGGAGAGUUGUCGCUUCCUGGGCUCACUCAGAGGUGAGGUGACGUUCCACGCUCGCUGUCAGUUUUGAAACAGGCAGUGUCACUGUGCUGCGGGUGUGACUUGGCCCGUCACAGCCCUCCUGCGUUAGGAAACAUGGUUUCUGAGCCAUCACUGUCGGGCUGCCUGAUGGCGAGGUGCCCAUCUGAGCGUGUCCCCUGUUGACAGCGCUUGACAAGCAUCGUGCCGGUCUUGCUUUUAGAUGCUGCACAGCAGGAGCUCUGGUCUGCAUAACGCGGCACGAUGAAGCGGAAAGAGUAUGGACAAGGGGGCAGAAAGCUGGGCUCUGCCACCCGCCAGCUAGGGGACCUUGAGCAAGUCGGCUUGCCCUUGCCGGUACGUAAACCAUCUCGUUGGGACAGUGCAACAAGAUGGUGCCUGGGAAAACGCUUUGUAAACUGAAGUCCUAGACCAAAUGAACAUCACGCCCCAG
rnacentral:lncRNA from 1 species